rnacentral:rRNA from 1 species
AAUGAACGUUGGCGGCGUGGAUUAGGCAUGCAAGUCGAACGGGCGUAGCAAUACGCCAGUGGCGGAAGGGUGAGUAAGGCGACGGCAACCAACCCCGAGGAUGGGUAUAGCCGCGGGAAACUGCGGGUAAUCCCCAGCGAUGCGAGGGCGUCGGCAUCGACGCUUCGCCAAAUGGAUCCGUCCGCCUCGGGACGGGCCGUCGUGGUAUUAGGUAGUUGGCGGGGUAGCGGCCCACCAAGCCUUCGAUGCCUACCGGGCGUGCGAGCGUGGCCCGGCACACUGGGACUGAGACACUGCCCAGACUCCUACGGGAGGCUGCAGUCGAGAAUCUUCGGCAAUGGGCGCAAGCCUGACCGAGCGACGCCGCGUGGAGGACGAAGGCCUUCGGGUUGUAAACUCCUGUCGAGGGGGAGAAAGGUCCGCAAGGGCUUGAUCGAUCCCUGGAGGAAGCACGGGCUAAGUUCGCGCCAGCCGCCGCAGUAAAAC